ACGCUGGCGGCAGGCUUAACACAUGCAAGUAGAACGGUAACAGGAAUUAGCUUGCUAAUUUGCUGACGAGUGGCGGACGGGUGAGUAAUGCUUGGGAAUCUGGCUUAUGGAGGGGGAUAACUACGGGAAACUGUAGCUAAUACCGCGUAAAAUCUUCGGAUUAAAGGGUGGGACUUUCGAGCCACCUGCCAUAAGAUGAGCCCAAGUGGGAUUAGGUAGUUGGUUAGGUAAAGGCUGACCAAGCCGACGAUCUCUAGCUGGUCUGAGAGGAUGACCAGCCACACUGGAACUGAGACACGGUCCAGACUCCUACGGGAGGCAGCAGUGGGGAAUAUUGCACAAUGGGGGGAACCCUGAUGCAGCCAUGCCGCGUGAAUGAAGAAGGCCUUCGGGUUGUAAAGUUCUUUCGGUGACGAGGAAGGUUGAUAGGUUAAUAGCCUAUCAAAUUGACGCUAAUCACAGAAGAAGCACCGGCUAACUCCGUGCCAGCAGCCGCGGUAAUACGGGGGGUGCGAGCGUUAAUCGGAAUAACUGGGCGUAAAGGGCACGCAGGCGGUGACUUAAGUGAGAUGUGAAAGCCCCGAGCUUAACUUGGGAAUUGCAUUUCAUACUGGGUCGCUAGAGUACUUUAGGGAGGGGUAGAAUUCCACGUGUAGCGGUGAAAUGCGUAGAGAUGUGGAGGAAUACCGAAGGCGAAGGCAGCCCCUUGGGAAUGUACUGACGCUCAUGUGCGAAAGCGUGGGGAGCAAACAGGAUUAGAUACCCUGGUAGUCCACGCUGUAAACGAUGUCGAUUUGGGGAUUGGGCUUUGAGCUUGGUGCCCGUAGCUAACGUGAUAAAUCGACCGCCUGGGGAGUACGGCCGCAAGGUUAAAACUCAAAUGAAUUGACGGGGGCCCGCACAAGCGGUG
rnacentral:rRNA from 1 species